rnacentral:rRNA from 1 species
GACGUAGGGCGCGAGCGUUGUCCGGAUUUAUUGGGCGUAAAGAGCUCGUAGGCGGCUUGUCGCGUCGUCCGUGAAAACCUGCGGCUCAACUGCAGGCUUGCGGUCGAUACGGGCAGGCUGGAGUUCGGUAGGGGAGACUGGAAUUCCUGGUGUAGCGGUGAAAUGCGCAGAUAUCAGGAGGAACACCGGUGGCGAAGGCGGGUCUCUGGGGCAGUAACUGACGC